rnacentral:rRNA from 1 species
GACGAACGCUGGCGGCGUGCUUAACACAUGCAAGUGGAGCGACGAACCGGGCUUCGGCCCGGGGCAAAGCCGCGAACGGGUGAGUAACACGUGGGUAACCUGCCCCGAUGACCGGGACAACCCGAGGAAACUCGGGCUAAUACCGGAUGUGCCCGCCCCACACCAGUGGGACGGGCAAAGGUAGCUUCGGCCUCCGCAUCGGGAUGGGCCCGCGGCGCAUUAGCUUGUUGGUGAGGUAACGGCUCACCAAGGCGACGAUGCGUAGCUGGUCUGAGAGGACGAUCAGCCACACUGGGACUGAGACACGGCCCAGACUCCUACGGGAGGCAGCAGUGGGGAAUCUUGCGCAAUGCGCGAAAGCGUGACGCAGCAACGCCGCGUGGGGAAGAAGG